rnacentral:rRNA from 1 species
AGAGUUUGAUCCUGGCUCAGGAUGAACGCUAGCGGCAGGCCUAAUACAUGCAAGUCGAACGGUAAAUAUUUAGCAAUAAAUAUGAGAGUGACGUACGGGUGCGUAACACGUAUGCAACCUACCCUUUACAGGCGGAUAGCUCGGGGAAACUCGAAUUAACCCGCCGUAAUAUAAUUGGAUGGCAUCAUCUGGUUAUUAAAUCUACGGAGGUAAAGGAUGGGCAUGCGUCUGAUUAGUUAGUUGGCGGGGUAACGGCCCACCAAGACGAUGAUCAGUAGGGGAACUGAGGGGUUGAUCCCCCACACUGGCACUGAGAUACGGGCCAGACUCCUACGGGAGGCAGCAGUAGGGAAUAUUGGUCAAUGGAUGGAAGUCUGAACCAGCCAUGCCGCGUGCAGGAAGAAGGCCUUCUGGGUUGUAAACUGCUUUUGCCAGGGGAUAGAAUGACCUUGCGAGGUUAAUUGAAGGUACCUGGUGAAUAAGCCACGGCUAACUACGUGCCAGCAGCCGCGGUAAUACGUAGGUGGCAAGCGUUGUCCGGAUUUAUUGGGUUUAAAGGGUGCGUAGGCGGCUUAUUAAGUCAGUGGUGAAAUACUCUAGCUCAACUAGAGGGGUGCCAUUGAUACUGAUGAGCUUGAGUACAGAUGAGGUAGGCGGAAUUGACGGUGUAGCGGUGAAAUGCUUAGAUAUCGUCAAGAACACCUAUAGCGAAGGCAGCUUACUAGGCUGUAACUGACGCUGAGGCACGAAAGUGUGGGGAUCAAACAGGGUUAGAUACCCUGGUAGUCCACACUGUAAACGUUGAUUACUCGCUGUGUGCGAUAUACAGUACGCGGCCAAGCGAAAGCGAUAAGCAAUCCACCUGGGGAGUACGCCGGCAACGGUGAAACUCAAAGGAAUUGACGGGGGUCCGCACAAGCGUGGAGCAUGUGGUUUAAUUCGAUGAUACGCCAGGAACCUUACCUGGACUAGAAUGCCCUUGACCGAUCCAGAGAUGGAUUUUUCCGCAAGGACAAGGAGCAAGGUGCUGCAUGGCCGUCGUCAGCUCGUGCCGUGAGGUGUUGGGUUAAGUCCCGCAACGAGCGCAACCCCUAUUUUUAGUUGCCAACAGGUUAAGCUGGGGACUCUAAAAAGACUGCCCGCGCAAGCGGAGAGGAAGGAGGGGACGACGUCAGGUCAUCAUGGCCCUUACGUCCAGGGCUACACACGUGCUACAAUGGCGUAUACAGAGUGUUGCAAACCAGCGAUGGUAAGCCAAUCACAAAAAGUACGUCUCAGUUCGGAUUGCAGGCUGC